UUUUGAGAAAUUGUAAACAAAGAGUAGGGUGAUGUUUUGUGUUGAUGUUGCCUUUCAUUCGAUAGAAAUUCAGUGGAAGAGAAAUAAUGUGAUCGUGUUCCGAUAGUGUAUGAGAUGAAUGCAAUCGAAAUUUCAAAUUUGUAAAAGUCUUAGAGUGUAGUAUAUUUUCAACACAGUUGCAGUACAUUUUUGUCAUUGUGAUAGUAUAUUUUGACAGAUCGAGUAGAUUUUGUAUUACUUAGAUAGUAUUUUUGUCGGUGGUUGUAGUAUAUUUUGUGGGUUAUGGUAGUAGCUUUUAUUGGUGGCAGUAGUAGUUUUGGUUGCUGGUGGUAGUACUUUUGUUGCUGACGGUAAUAUUUUUUGUUGGUGGCGGAAGUAGCAUUUUUUGACACGACCCACCCCGAAUUUCACCCUGAAACCCGGAGUAAGUCGUGCGGGGACCACCUCCAAGGAAAAUUUACUGAAAAGAUUAAGAAAAUCUCCCUUGCAGAUGGACAACCCUAACUCGAAAAUUCAUAUUACACUCUUAAUUCAACACUUCCGAACAUCACAUAAUUAUCCUUCAGAAAUUCUACACAUAAUAUACAAUAAUCCCAAAGUAUUCAGAGCUACUAAACACAAGCGGAAGUAAGAAAACACGAGUAGGUUGAACAGGUAACCUACUGACGAAAACUGGUAGAAAUGCGGGUGACUAUGCCUCGUCUCCUACUAGAUCCAACCCGAACUCUGCAGACUGGGCAAUUUAAAACGAAGGACCUAGGAGAAAACAUUUAAUAACGUUAGAGUGAGUGGACAAAAAUAAAAUAAUAAAUAAAAUAUUUAUGUUUCCCCAAAUUAAUUUCUAAGGAAAAAUCGAAUGCAUGCCGCAAGCGAUAAAACUUUUAUCCCAUAAAAUAUCGAGCCUCUCAGACUCUAUAAUAUAUGUAUGUAUUUACACUCGUCCAUACUCCCUAUAUAAAUUCAUGGGUCUAUAUAGGGCUACUACGCUCGCGUCCAACGCUCACGUCACGCCUUAAUGCGGUGCUACACUACGCCAUCAAGGUGGACAGACGGGUGUAUAAAUAUGUGUCCAUACCCCCUAUAUGAAUUAAACACUCAAAUAGGGCUACUACGCUUACGUCCAACGUCUCACGUCACACCAUAAUGCGGCUAUAUGCUACGCCAUUAAGGUGGACAGACACAUAUGGCUAGCUAGCAUUUUCUAUACAUACUCUCUCAUAUAUACAUAUUAU
rnacentral:lncRNA from 1 species